ACGUUGGACACCAAGGCUAAGAAUCUGAUUAUAAAGAACUGGAAACAGAAAUAUACACACUACUACAAAACGAGUGUCUUCUCGACGCUUAAGCCUCGUCGCUUAGGCAUCAGCGUUAGGUGAUAAAUACAAUAUGCAUGUCUUCUCGACGUCAACAUUUAUUUUUGACAUAAAUAAGCGUCGAGAACAACGCGUACAAGGCUCGUGAGUGCAAUUUGCUCAUUCCACAGUUUCAAAAUUUCGGAAAACAUAAAACUGCCCACAGAAACAAAACUUGAAAACCCUUUCACUUCUCACAUCUUAACCCUAACUAUUCAUCUCUCCUCCAUCGUACUAAAUUCUUCAAAGUGAUUCAGAAAAUCAUGGAUUUUAAUUACAGAUCUUCAAUUCGUUCCCCUUGCACUGCUCAUAAAUAAUUUUGCUUGCUUAAUUUUCUCUACUUGUCGGCUUUCAAUGGUGUUUAAUUUCGUCUUCUCUUUGCCGAUAGAAUUGAGGUUCCCGUGAAUAAUGUUCAGACGUAUGGCGAUUUACGAAAUGUACUGAUGAAAAGGAUCGUUCUUGCUGCCUUGCAUUUCUGGAUUAACUCCUGGCGUGAUACAAGGAUAUUGUUGUGAUUAUUUUAUACGUCCCAGACUACGUACAUCAAAGUUAUUAAUUAAGUGGUUCGAUGAAGACAUAGUAGCUCCAAAUUCGAUUGUGAGAAGCAACAAUUUUUUCGAUAAAGGUGGAGAAUUACAAUCAAACAUUUGUAUUUAUUGUCAGUUGUUUAAGAGAAGAAUAUGGAUUACUAUACAUAAAAUGUAUUUGUACUUUUCUUUUAUCAUUCUAGCUUGAUUACAUCAAUAGUGUCAGAAUAUAAUAAGUUGUACUUUUCUUGGAUUAUGAAUAAAAUUUAAUUAGAGUAAAAAUGUCUUUUGAUUUGUUUAACUCUUACAUUGAAUAUCUAUGCUAGUUAUAUUUAUUUUUAGUUAAUAAAUUAAAUUUUAUUUUUGCUGAAAAAAAUAUUCUACACAUUGGAUAUUUUAUACAAAAUUUGGACUAGAAACAGCGUCGCGAAGUUUUAAAAUAUAGACAUUAAAAAUCGUCGAUAAAAUAUAGGACAUAUAACAUAUAUAAAACUAAGGAAAUUUUAGAAAAUAACACCACAAAAAAACACAAAUUUUGAUUAUAACACCAAAAAAUUUAAAAUUUUGAUUAUAACACCACAAAAAUACCAAAAAAUUUGAUUUCACCACCACUUUCUAACGCCAUCCAAAAAACCGUUAGUGAGCCCCAAGAAGUACACGUGUCAGAUGUAUAUUGGAUUAAAAAAAAGGAAAAAUAAAAAAUGAAAAACCCUAAAAUCCAAACCCAGCCACCGUACUGACCAUCAGCGUCAGUUUCUACUGCUCACUGCCGCCGCUGGUUCGCCCAGUCAACCACCCUCGACCCCCGACCACCUGAACGACGCACCACCCUAAUCCUUAAACGUCGUACCCAGCUUGGCCUC